rnacentral:rRNA from 1 species
CGAGCGAACCACUUCGGUGGGAAGCGGCGAACGGGUGAGUAACACGUAGGUGAUCUGCCCAUCAGACGGGGACAACGAUUGGAAACGAUCGCUAAUACCGGAUAGGACGAAAGUUUAAAGAUGCUCCUGGCAUCACUGAUGGAUGAGCCUGCGGCGCAUUAGCUAGUUGGUGGGGUAAAGGCCUACCAAGGCGACGAUGCGUAGCCGACCUGAGAGGGUGAACGGCCACACUGGGACUGAGACACGGCCCAGACUCCUACGGAAGGCAGCAGUAGGGAAUCUUCGGCAAUGGGCGAAAGCCUGACCGAGCAACGCCGCGUGAAUGAAGAAGGCCUUCGGGUUGUAAAAUUCUGUUAUAAGGGAAGAAAGGUGAUAGGAGGAAAUGACUAUCAAUUGACGGUACCUUAUGAGAAAGCCACGGCUAACUACGUGCCAGCAGCCGCGGUAAUACGUAGGUGGCAAGCGUUAUCCGGAAUUAUUGGGCGUAAAGAGCGCGCAGGUGGUUAAUUAAGUCUGAUGUGAAAGCCCACGGCUUAACCGUGGAGGGUCAUUGGAAACUGGUUGACUUGAGUGCAGAAGAGGGAAGUGGAAUUCCAUGUGUAGCGGUGAAAUGCGUAGAGAUAUGGAGGAACACCGGUGGCGAAGGCGGCUUCCUGGUCUGCAACUGACACUGAGGCGCGAAAGCGUGGGGAGCAAACAGGAUUAGAUACCCUGGUAGUCCACGCCGUAAACGAUG